rnacentral:rRNA from 1 species
UACAGAGGGGGCAAGCGUUGUUCGGAAUUACUGGGCGUAAAGGGCGCGUAGGCGGCCGCCUAAGUCAGACGUGAAAUCCCUCGGCUCAACCGGGGAACUGCGUCUGAUACUGGGAGGCUUGGAAUCCGGGAGAGGGAUGUGGAAUUCCAGGUGGUAGCGGUGAAAUGCGUAGAUAUUCGCAAGAACACCAGUGGCGAAGGCGGCUCACUGGCCCGGUACUGACGCUGAGGUGCGAAAGCGUGGGGAGCAAACAGG